CAGGAUGCAAUUGAAGAAAUCACAAACAGGAGCAUGAGAAAAAGCAAGACAAUUGCACAAAACAAGCCAUUGCUACUGACGGGGACUGGCUGUAAUCCAUUGAUGAGAGAGAAAAGCAGCCAGGGGACAGAGCUUGACACAGCCAUGUCUCCCAGGCCUUUCCGGGCAACUAUCACACUGGUGAUGAGGUCAGGAAUUGACGUGCCUGCCGCUAGGAUUGUCAAACCCAUGAUCUCUUCAGAAAUGCCUAUUGUUUCACCGACCUGGUAAACAGGAACAGUAAUGAGAACUGUGGCACCAAGGGGAAAGUUUGAGGCUCUUCAAAACACCAACCACAUACUACUCUGUCCAAACCCCCGACCCUUCCCUGAGCUCAGCACACUCCCUGGGCCUGAGCGAGGGAGGCUGACUGUGGAACUGACGGCUCGGCAGAUGGGCCUCAGAGAGAGAGGACAGGGCCCCUGCUGAAGGCUUCAGAGACUGAUGCUUUUCUAAUUUGGACUUUGUCUGUGAUACCACCUCCCAACUGCACCACCCCUACGCUCUCAAGAGAACUGCUCCCCCCAAGAUCUGUGGGGUCACAGUUCCAUUUCCAGAACCAUGGCCACUGCUAUGUGUCAGGAACCAAGAGGCUGGAGACAGAAGUACGAGAGCACCCCGACACUGCUCUCAGCCUCGUGAAGGAGAGUUUGUGAACAGCGGUCACGGUUCUGUGCUAAGUGCAGUAUUCCACAUGGGACAGAAAAGCCGUGGCAGUCAGAGGAAGACCAUGAAAUGCUAGAGAGGAGGCAGAAACACCUGGCUCAUGCGUGUGUACGAUUCCACCGGGUGGGGAGGAGCGCGGGCUGACGGCAGGGGAAGCAGGGAAUAAAGAGGUGGUCAGCGGGGUCAGACUGUGAAGGGCCUUCUGUGUCAUGCUACAGCGGGAAGACUUUCUAAGGCAGAAGAGCCACACUUGAAAAGCGCCACUUUCACUAGAAUAAAAAGUCAGCUUUUAAGCCUUUUCAAUGUAGAAACAAUAAAUCCACUCGAUCCUUACCAUUCCCUAGGUACUGGAAAUUCGCCCUGAAGGAAAAAAGUGUCCUUAGAAGCUGCUGAUGGGGGAUUCAGUUUCUGCUGUUCACCCACUCACCUGGUGAGCCCACCAUACCAUGAGUGUCUCCCCAUUCUGUGUUGUUCUCUCAGAAUGAACCUGAAAACUUGGGUAGGAGGAGAAAACUAAUGCAAUCAUUCAGCAGAAUCCCCUUUACAGCUCCUGCCCAGUGAUUGUCCUGUGUUUAUUUGAUCAAAUCCAGGGAUGGAGAACUCACCACCUAAAGCAGCUUUUGUCAUCUUGACAACUGAUUGGUUUGGAGCCCAUGUUUGUACCAAGAUUCUACCUCCUGUACACAGGUUGACUCUUGGGGUCACACAGAACAAAGCUAGUCACUAUUCCACGAGACAGCUCUCCUCCCUGGGUUAAAGAUUCCCAGGUCCUGCCAUCACUACAUGCUAUGGACUAGAGCCUCCUUCCCAUCUUGGUGAACUCAUUCUAAUGAACUCAUGUCUCAUGAGGAAGCUUCCAGAACUGAACAGAGAACACUGUAUAGAGUGGAAUAGGAUUAUCACGUCCGUUAUCUUAGAUACUAUGCUUCCAUUAAUGUGGCAUAUCUUUCGGUGAUCACGUCACAUUGCGAGUCUUCUACAACUCCCAAACUGUUAUAUUGCAUUAUAUAUCAUGAUGAUAAUUAAUACCUACUUAUUGAGGGUUUUGGGAUGUCAACCACCAAGCUAAGUGGUUUAAAUAAUAACAGCACUUACUAUGUUUCAUGAGUCAAUUAAUUUAUGAUAUAGAUAGUAUUAAACCCAUCCCAGACAGAUGGAGAAACGAGGGUUAAUAAUUUGCCCAUGGUCCACGAGUUUGUAAGUGACGAAGGUGGGAUUUAAAUAUGG